GUUUAUCACACACAUUUGAUUCGAUUUGCUCUCAUCAAUGUGAUAUCUUCGAAUUUUUCUCCAUAAAAAGGAAGGAUACACGCAGUCUUUUGAUAGUCCAAAUGUGUAAGAUAGUUCAACAGAUUCAAGUUACCAAUUAUGAAAAUAUUUCUGAAGCCAUGAUAAAUGAAUGGGAUGAGGCUUGCUCAGAUCACAAAGCCCUGAAUAUUUAUAAUGAUUGGCUAAUGAGCUCGGUCAAGACACUUGAAAAAUGUUUUAAGGAGAAAACAAUGGCUAAAAUGGUGGCUUUGGAAUUGGAAGUUGUGAAGAAGAAGAUUGAAAUUGAGAUCAGAAAGAUAGACGUGGACAGUGGAAAAAUUGAUUCCAUUUGCAACCGUUAUGGUGAUAUCUUUAAAAGAUGCAUUAUUACAAGGAAGGAUACACGUCGUCUUAUGUUGGAUCAAAUUUGUGAAGUAAUUCAACAGAUUCAAGCUACCACUUACAAAAAAAUUUCUGAAGCCAAGAUGAUUGAGUGGUACGAGGUUUGCUCAGAUCACAAUUCCAUGAAAAUUGAGAAUGAAUGGCUAAUGAGCUCAAUCAAGGAACUCAGAAAUUGUUUUGAGGGGAAAAUGGCAGCCGAAACGGAGAUCUUGAAGUUGCAAAAUAGUGUGAAGGAGAAUAUUGAAAGUGAGAUAAGAAAGAUAGACUUGAUGAUGGAACCAUCAUAUUCUAAGUGGAGAAAGCGUGCUGGUGAAGAUGUCGAUGUAAGUACAAAGAAAAUUACUAUGAUUAGAAUUCAAAAGUUUACAUGACCUAGUCAUUGGUGCUAAUUGCUAAAUGGUCAGUUAUAGUUUAGUGUACUUCAUUAUAGUUUAUUUAAAUGAAAUUGACAAAUAAAUUAUAUAAAAAUUAUUUUUUUACUAUGAAGUUAAACAUAUGGUUUUUGGGUCCUGCAAAACUUUGCAACUAAGUGUUUUUGAGAAAAAACAAACACACAAAAUUGAUAACCCACUAGUUUAUUGCAACUUAUUAUCUUCUUUUACAGGUCAUAUUGAAAGUGAGUUCAUCACAGAUGCAUUUUACAAAAUGUCAUGAACAACUUAAAGCCGAGGUAUAAAUUCUAGCCUCCUCCCUCCAAGAGUAUGUUUUUCUUUGUAUAUUAGGCGUUAGAGUACUAAAUGAUUGAAAAUAAUAUAAGAGUAAUAACUUAUAAUUAAGUUCCAAACAUUUUUCUUUCUGGUCAAUUUGGAAACCUCAAAUGAAAUAAUCCUCCAACCAAAAAAAAAAAAAAUAGUCUACAAAUUUGUUGUAUUAUAGAUACAUGUAUACAUAAAUAUUUGCAUAUGAACCAUAUAAAUAGACCAAAAGUUCCUUCAAAAUUUUAGUAAAAAUUUACUAAAAUGGUAAAGUUUCAUUUCGAGUAGCAUACACAAAUGGCCAUGAAAUUUAUUACUUUGGCUUUUCUGAUAAAGCUGGAUUUGUGGUCUAAGUUUUAGAGUUUAGUUUGUGAUUGGCAUGAAGAACUUGAUGAGUUGAGUUGGGAAUUUUUCUACAUAUGGGAACUAUGAAAACAUUUCUGAAGCCAUGACCAAUAAAUGGUACAACAUUUGCUCAAAUCUCAAUGUCAUGAAAAUUGAGAAUGAAUGGCUAUUGGGCUCAGUCAAGGAACUCGAAAUUUGUUUUAAGGAGAAAGACGCAGCCAAAAUGGAGAUCUUGAAAUUGGAAAAUAAUGUGAAAGAGAAGAUUGAAAAUGAAAUAAGAAAGAUAGACUUGAUGAUAGAACCAUUAUCUUCUAAGCAGAGAAGGCGUGCUGAUGAAGACGUCGAUGUAAGUACAAAGAAAUAAGAUUAGAAUGUCAAAAUUUUCAUGACAUAGACAUUGGGUGCUAACUGCUAAUGGUCAAUUUUCAUUCUAGUCAAGUUAAAUGAAACUGACAAAAAAUUAUGUAAAAUAAAUUUUUUACUGUGAAGUUAAACUUGUAGUUCUUUAUGGCUCCUUCAAACCUUUGCAAAAGUGUUUUGUAGGGGAAAUUUUUUUUUUCGAUUAUCUACUAGUUUAUUAUUGUAACUACUAUCUUUCUUCUACAUGUGAAAGUGAGUUUGUCAGAGAUGUAUUUGCCAAAAUGUCUUGAACAGCUUGAAGCCCAACAGUCUUACCUAGAUAGCAUUAGUGUUGAGGCAAUGACCAAUCUUGUAGCACAUGGUUCAGACAGAUUAGACCACGUGGAAUGCAGUGUCAACAAACAAGUCUUCAACACGAGGGAAAAUGAUGGGUAUCAAAAUUAUGCAAUUUAACAAAAUCAUUAGCGUGAGGUUUUGCUUCAUUUUAUUUUUUCUUGUAUUUUAAUACAACUUCUUUGUUUGACCAAUGAUUAUUUCUUUUCAUUACUUUAAUGAAAUCAAUAUAUGAUCCAGGUUAUAAUGGAUUUGUAAUAUAAUAAAGAGAAAUUGAUAAUAGAGCGUGAUAUUUAUUCUGCUUUUAAUAAAUAUAUAAUUUUGGUAUUAUAUACAAUGGAACAUUUGAUUCACUAAACUAUUUCCAAUUAUACGAUAUAAUUGUCCUUCAUAGAGAACUUUCGGUACAUAUAGAAGACUAUUAUGCAACUCAAGAGGAACUCUGUACUCUGGAAGAUCAAAAUUGGAUUGUGAGCCCAGUAAGUUCACUACACAAUAGUAUUCCCUAAGGGAUUAUUCUAACUACCUUAUAUACUGACAACCUUAUACUUUUGGAUGUUAUGUAGGUUGUUAAUGCCUUCGGUCAAAUGCUGAUCUACAAACAAAAAAAAAGAUAGAAUUAUAUAGUGCCAUUACUUUCCCGCAUACUUUGGGGAAAAGAUUUCUAAAGGAAGCAUCCAGGGAAUAGAGGAACUAGAAUGUUACUAUUCAGAGAAGAAACUACACCACAACUUGACUCUUUGUGAACUGCUUUUCAUCCCCAUAUGCUUGGAUUAUCAUUGGUUUUUAUACGUGAUAAAUUUGAAGGAUAAAAAAAUAGAUAUUCUGGAUUCCAUACGAAGAAAAAAUGUUCCCGAGAUUACGCACCAAAUUGUGGAUAUAUGCGAGAGGAUAUUAACCUCGCUAAAUGAAGGGACAAUACUUUCAAUUUCCAAAUGGAGUCAAGAUCGGCCUCAACUUCCAUUACAAACAAACCUGAAUGAUUGCGGUGUCUUCAUGUUGAAGUUCAUGGAGUGUUGGAAUGGGGAAUUGACUGAAAAUUUCUCACAGGAUGACAUUGUAUUUAUUCGAAAGAAGAUUCAUGAAGACUUGAUGCUA